AAGGGAGACCUAAUUCGGGUAGGAGACGAAAAAAAAGUAGUCGCUACCAAGAAUCAAUCCCAAAAGGUCGGAGCGAGGUGAAAUUGGCUUUCAAACUAGGUUCUGGGUUCACACAAGACCUGAAUCAGGAACAAGGGCUAUUAGCUCAGGUGGUUAGAGCGCACCCCUGAUAAGGGUGAGGUCCCUGGUUCGAGUCCAGGAUGGCCCACCUGUACAGGUGGCAAAAAGAAAGAAAAGAAGCGAGGAAUCAGCACCUUAUCUUACUGACAUAGUAAGAGAGAAUGCUGGCUCUGAGUAAAGAGUCCAGAGGAACCUUGAAAACUGCAUAGAGCUAGGUGAAAAAGCCAAAAAAGAAGACCGCAA
rnacentral:tRNA from 1 species